rnacentral:rRNA from 1 species
ACAUGCCUACAACAUAGCGUUAAUGCAUUGGAUCCUAUUAGAAAUUCGCAGUUAAGCAUUCUCAGACUAGAGUAGCAUUGGGACAGGUAACCACUCAGGAAGUCCUAGUAUUUUACAUGCC